UACGGAGGGUGCAAGCGUUAUCCGGAUUUACUGGGUUUCAAGGGUGCGUAGGCGGAUUUGUAAGUCCGAGGUGAAAUCUCCGAGCUUAACUCGGAAACUGCCGUUGAUACUAUUUGUCUUGAAUAUUGUGGAGGUAAGCGGAAUAUGUCAUGUAGCGGUGAAAUGCUUAGAUAUGACAUAGAACACCAAUUGCGAAGGCAGCUUACUACACCAUGAUUGACGCUGAGGCACGAAAGCGUGGGGAUCAAUCAGU
rnacentral:rRNA from 1 species